rnacentral:rRNA from 1 species
GGGGAAUAUUGCACAAUGGGCGCAAGCCUGAUGCAGCGACGCCGCGUGGGGGAUGACGGCCUUCGGGUUGUAAACCCCUUUCGACUCCGAAGAAGCGUAAGUGACGGUAGGGGUAGAAGAAGCACCGGCUAACUACGUGCCAGCAGCCGCGGUAAUACGUAGGGUGCGAGCGUUGUCCGGAAUUAUUGGGCGUAAAGAGCUUGUAGGCGGUUUGUCGCGUCUGUCGUGAAAACCAGGGGCUUAACUCCUGGCGUGCGGUGGGUACGGGCAGGCUAGAGUGUGGUAGGGGAGACUGGAAUUCCUGGUGUAGCGGUGAAAUGCGCAGAUAUCAGGAGGAACACCGAUGGCGAAGGCAGGUCUCUGGGCCAUUACUGACGCUGAGAAGCGAAAGCAUGGGGAGCGAAC